rnacentral:tRNA from 1 species
GCGGGCGUAGCUCAGUUGGUAGAGCGACAGCCUUCCAAGCUGUAGGUCGCGAGUUCGAAGCUCGUCGCCCGCU